rnacentral:rRNA from 1 species
AACGAACGCUGGCGGCGUGCCUAACACAUGCAAGUCGAACGGAUUUGAGGGGCUUGCUCCUCAAGUUAGUGGCGCACGGGUGAGUAACGCGUAGAUAAUCUGCCUGAUGAUCUGGGAUAACACUUCGAAAGGGGUGCUAAUACCGGAUAAGCCCACGAUGGCUUUGGUCGUUGCGGGAAAAGGGGGGGACCUUCGGGCCUUCUGUCAUCAGAUGAGUCUGCGUACCAUUAGCUAGUUGGUGGUGUAAUGGACCACCAAGGCUACGAUGGUUAGCUGGUCUGAGAGGAUGAUCAGCCACACUGGAACUGAGACACGGUCCAGACUCCUACGGGAGGCAGCAGUGGGGAAUUUUGCGCAAUGGGCGAAAGCCUGACGCAGCAACGCCGCGUGAGUGAUGAAGGCUUUCGGGUCGUAAAGCUCUGUCAAGGGGAAAGAAGUGUAUUAUGGUUAAUACCCAUGAUGCUUGACGGUACCCCUAAAGGAAGCACCGGCUAACUCCGUGCCAGCAGCCGCGGUAAUACGGAGGGUGCGAGCGUUGUUCGGAAUUAUUGGGCGUAAAGCGCGUGUAGGCGGUUUGUUAAGUCUGAUGUGAAAGCCCCGGGCUCAACCUGGGAAGUGCAUUGGAUACUGGCAGACUUGAAUACGGGAGAGGGCAGUGGAAUUCCUGGUGUAGGAGUGAGAUCCGUAGAUAUCAGGAGGAACACCGGUGGCGAAGGCGGCUGCCUGGACCGAUAUUGACGCUGAGACGCGAAAGCGUGGGUAGCAAACAGGAUUAGAUACCCUGGUAGUCCACGCCGUAAACGAUGAGUACUAGGUGUUGCGGGUAUUGACCCCUGCAGUGCCGCAGCUAACGCAUUAAGUACUCCGCCUGGGAAGUACGGUCGCAAGACUAA